GGUAGUCCACGCCGUAAACGAUGGAUACUAGCUGUUGGAGGUAUCGACCCCUUCAGUAGCGAAGCUAACGCGUUAAGUAUCCCGCCUGUGGAGUACGGUCGCAAGACUAAAACAUAAAGGAAUUGACGGGGAGCCGCACAAGCGGUGGAUUAUGUUCUUUAAUUCGAUGAUAACCGAUGAACCUUACCAGGGUUUGACAUCCUUGGAAUUUUGCCGAAAGGCGAGAGUGCUUUAUUGAACCAAGUGACAGAUGAUGCAUGGCCGUCGUCAGCUCGUGUCGUGAGAUGUUUGGUUAAG
rnacentral:rRNA from 1 species